UAAAAAUGAUAGCCUACUCAACACGCGAAAGUAUUGUAAGUUCAUCGGAGAAAAGGUGACCAGCCAGAAUCUUCAUAUCACAGAAGGAAAGAAGAAGAAGAAGUAUUGUAAGUUCAAGCUAAACAUUUGUAAGGAUUAUGAAUCAAUUUAAAAAUCCACGAAAAAGCCUAUUAUUGUCGGGAGUUGGAUUCUUGUAUUUCUCAAAGAUGAUAGCCAUUGUAACCCUGCUGAAGAGGGGCGUGAUAGCCCGAAACACAGUUGUAAACAAAAGUAUGUGUACAGGAGGCUCUAUAAAUAAAUUCUGUUUUCUUUAAGAACUUUUACUCAAUUUUGU